rnacentral:rRNA from 1 species
CGCCCUUAGAGUUUGAUCCUGGCUCAGAUUGAACGCUGGCGGCAGGCCUAACACAUGCAAGUCGAACGGUAAAGCAGCUUGCUGCUUACGAGUGGCGGACGGGUGAGUAAUGUCUGGGAAGCUGCCUGAUGGAGAGGGAUAACUACUGGAAACGGUAGCUAAUACCGCAUAAUGUCGCAAGACCAAAGAGGUUCGUCUUGCCAUCGGAUGUGCCCAGAUGGGAUUAGCUUGUUGGUGGGGUAACGGCUCACCAAGGCGACGAUCCCUAGCUGGUCUGAGAGGAUGACCAGCCACACUGGAACUGAGACACGGUCCAGACUCCUACGGGAGGCAGCAGUGGGGAAUAUUGCACAAUGGGCGCAAGCCUGAUGCAGCCAUGCCGCGUGUAUGAAGAAGGCCUUCGGGUUGUAAAGUACUUUCAGCGGGGAGGAAGGGAGUAAAGUAAUCUUUGCUCUUGACGUUACCCGCAGAAGAAGCACCGGCUAACUCCGUGCCAGCAGCCGCGGUAAUAUGGAGGGUGCAAGCGUUAAUCGGAAUUACUGGGCGUAAAGCGCACGCAGGCGGUUUGUUAAGUCAGAUGUGAAAUCCCCGGGCUCAACCUGGGAACUGCAUCUGAUACUGGCAAGCUUGAGUCUCGUAGAGGGGGGUAGAAUUCCAGGUGUAGCGGUGAAAUGCGUAGAGAUCUGGAGGAAUACCGGUGGCGAAGGCGGCCCCCUGGACGAGACUGACGCUCAGGUGCGAAAGCGUGGGGAGCAAACAGGAUUAGAUACCCUGGUAGUCCACGCCGUAAACGAUGUCGACUUGGAGGUUGUGCCCUUGAGGCGUGGCUU